rnacentral:SRP_RNA from 5 species
UGUCAAGCCCCGGACAAUAUGAAAUUACCCAACUCCGUCAGGUCUGAAAGGAAGCAGCGGUAAGUAAUCGAGUAUGUGAUCCGGGUGUCUUGACCUUU